AGCAGCAGCCGCGGGAACACGUAGGUGGCAAGCGUUGUCCGGAAUUAUUGGGCGUAAAGCGUGCGCAGGCGGAUAGGUCAGUCUGUCUUAAAAGUUCGGGGCUUAACCCCGUGAUGGGAUGGAAACUGCCAAUCUAGAGUAUCGGAGAGGAAAGUGGAAUUCCUAGUGUAGCGGUGAAAUGCGUAGAUAUUAGGAAGAACACCAGUGGCGAAGGCGACUUUCUGGACGAAAACUGACGCUGAGGCGCGAAAGCCAGGGGAGCGAACGGGAUUAGAUACCCCUGUAGUCCCUGUCUCUUAUACA
rnacentral:rRNA from 1 species